rnacentral:rRNA from 1 species
AGAGCGAACGCUGGCGGCAGGCCUAACACAUGCAAGUCGAACGAACUCUUCGGAGUUAGUGGCAGACGGGUGAGUAACGCGUGGGAACGUGCCCUUUGGUUCGGAACAACUCAGGGAAACUUGAGCUAAUACCGAAUGUGCCCUUCGGGGGAAAGAUUUAUCGCCAUUGGAGCGGCCCGCGUUGGAUUAGGUAGUUGGUGAGGUAAAGGCUCACCAAGCCUACGAUCCAUAGCUGGUCUGAGAGGAUGAUCAGCCACACUGGGACUGAGACACGGCCCAGACUCCUACGGGAGGCAGCAGUGGGGAAUCUUGCGCAAUGGGCGAAAGCCUGACGCAGCCAUGCCGCGUGAAUGAUGAAGGUCUUAGGAUUGUAAAAUUCUUUCAGCAGGGACGAUAAGUGACGGUACCUGCAGAAGACGCCCGGCUAACUCGUGCCAGCAGCCGC